GAUGAACGCUGGCGGCGUGCCUAAUACAUGCAAGUCGAGCGAACAGAUGAGGAGCUUGCUCCUCUGACGUUAGCGGCGGACGGGUGAGUAACACGUGGAUAACCUACCUAUAAGACUGGGAUAACUUCGGGACACCGGAGCUAAUACCGGAUAAUAUAUUGAACCGCAUGGUUCAAUAGUGAAAGACGGUUUUGCUGUCACUUAUAGAUGGAUCCGCGCCGCAUUAGCUAGUUGGUAAGGUAACGGCUUACCAAGGCAACGAUGCGUAGCCGACCUGAGAGGGUGAUCGGCCACACUGGAACUGAGACACGGUCCAGACUCCUAAGGGAGGCAGCAGUAGGGAAUCUGCCGCAAUGGGCGAAAGCCUGACGGAGCAACGCCGCGUGAGUGAUGAAGGUCUUCGGAUCGUAAAACUCUGUUAUUAGGGAAGAACAAAUGUGUAAGUAACUAUGCACGUCUUGACGGUACCUAAUCAGAAAGCCACGGCUAACUACGUG
rnacentral:rRNA from 1 species